GCCUCUUUAGCUCAGUGGCAGAGCACUGGCCUGGCAAAUCAGCGGUCGUGAGUACGCUCCUCACAGGAGGCA